AUUGAACGCUGGCGGCAUGCUUUACACAUGCAAGUCGAACGGCAGCGCGGGGCAACCUGGCGGCGAGUGGAGAACGGGUGAGUAAUAUAUCGGAACGUACCCAGAAGUGGGGGAUAACGUAGCGAAAGUUACGCUAAUACCGCAUACGAUCUACGGAUGAAAGUAGGGGACCGCAAGGCCUUAUGCUUUUGGAGCGGCCGAUAUCUGAUUAGCUAGUUGGUGAGGUAAAGGCUCACCAAGGCGACGAUCAGUAGCUGGUCUGAGAGGACGACCAGCCACACUGGAACUGAGACACGGUCCAGACUCCUACGGGAGGCAGCAGUGGGGAAUUUUGGACAAUGGGCGCAAGCCUGAUCCAGCAAUGCCGCGUGAGUGAAGAAGGCCUUCGGGUUGUAAAGCUCUUUUGUCAGGGAAGAAACGGUAGAGGCUAAUAUCCUUUGCUAAUGACGGUACCUGAAGAAUAAGCACCGGCUAACUACGUG
rnacentral:rRNA from 1 species